CCCCUACAUCCACCUUUAUGCCCCAUUAUGCCCCUACAUCCACCAUUAUACCCCAUUAUACCCCUACAUCCACCAUUAUGCCCCUACAUCCACCAUUAUGCCCCAUUAUGCCCCUACAUCCACCAUUAUACCCCUACAUCCACUAUUAUGCCCCAUUAUGCCCCUACAUCCACCAUUAUGCCCCAUUAUACCCCUACAUCCACCAUUAUACCCCUACAUCCACCAUUAUACCCCUACAUCAAAUCUAGUAGAUCCCUAUUAUAUGUGUCGCUAGGUACAUCAAAUCUAGUAGAUCCCUAUUAUAUGUGUUGCUAGGUACAUCAAAUCUAGUAGAUCCCUAUUAUAUGUGUCGCUAGGUACAUCAAAUCUAGUAGAUCCCUAUUAUGAGUGUUGCUAGAUACAUCAAAUCUAGUAGAUCCCUAUUAUAUGUGUCGCUUGGUACAUCAAAUCUAGUAGAUCCCUAUUAUAUGUGUUGCUAGGUACAUCAAAUCUAGUAGAUCCCAAUUAUGCGUGUUGCAAGGUACAUCAAAUCUAGUAGAUCCCUAUUAUGCGUGUUGCUAGGUACAUCAAAUCUAGUAGAUCCCUAUUAUGCGUGUUGCUAGGUACAUCAAAUCUAGUAGAUCCCUAUUAUGAGUGUUGCUAGGUACAUCAAAUCUAGUAGAUCCCUAUUAUGAGUGUUGCUAGGUACAUCAAAUCUAGUAGAUCACUAUUAUGAGUGUUGCUAGGUACAUCAAAUCUAGUAGAUCCCUAUUAUGCGUGUUGCUAGGUACAUCAAAUCUUCUAGUAGAUCCCUAUUAUGCGUGUUGCUAGGUACAUCAAAUCUUCUAGUAGAUCCCUAUUAUGCGUGUUGCUAGGUACAUCAAAUCUAGUAGAUCCCUAUUAUGCGUGUUGCUAGGUACAUCAAAUCUAGUAGAUCCCUAUUAUGCGUGUUGCUAGGUACAUCAAAUCUAGUAGAUCCCUAUUAUGCGUGUUGCUAGGUACAUCAAAUCUAGUAGAUCCCUAUUAUGCGUGUUGCUAGGUACAUCAAAUCUUCUAGUAGAUCCCUAUUAUGCGUGUUGCUAGGUACAUCAAAUCUAGUAGAUCCCUAUUAUGCGUGUUGCUAGGUACAUCAAAUCUAGUAGAUCCCUAUUAUGAGUGUUGCUAGGUACAUCAAAUCUAGUAGAUCACUAUUAUGAGUGUUGCUAGGUACAUCAAAUCUUCUAGUAGAUCCCUAUUAUGCGUGUUGCUAGGUACAUCAAAUCUUCUAGUAGAUCCCUAUUAUGCGUGUUGCUAGGUACAUCAAAUCUUCUAGUAGAUCCCUAUUAUGCGUGUUGCUAGGUACAUCAAAUCUUCUAGUAGAUCCCUAUUAUGCGUGUUGCUAGGUACAUCAAAUCUUCUAGUAGAUCCCUAUUAUGCGUGUUGCUAGGUACAUCAAAUCUAGUAGAUCCCUAUUAUGCGUGUUGCUAGGUACAUCAAAUCUUCUAGUAGAUCCCUAUUAUGCGUGUUGCUAGGUACAUCAAAUCUUCUAGUAGAUCCCUAUUAUGCGUGUUGCUAGGUACAUCAAAUCUAGUAGAUCCCUAUUAUGCGUGUUGCUAGGUACAUCAAAUCUUCUAGUAGAUCCCUAUUAUGCGUGUUGCUAGGUACAUCAAAUCUAGUAGAUCCCUAUUAUGUGUGUUGCUAGGUACAUCAAAUCUAGUAUUCUAGUACAUCAAAUCAGGUUCCGUUUUAGGACGACUAUUGUUUUCAAUAUCUAUUUUACCUCUUGGUGAUGUCAUUCAGAGACAUAAUGUUAACUUUCACUGCUAUGCGGAUGACACACAGCUGUACAUUUCAAUGAAACAUGGUGAAGCCCCAAAAUGGCCCUCCCUGGAAGCCUGUGUUUCAGACAUAAGGAAGUGGAUGGCGGCAAAUGUUUUACUUUUAAACUCGGACAAAACAGAGAUGCUAGUUCUAGGUCCCAAGAAACAAAGAGAUCUUCUGUUGAAUCUGACAAUUAAUCUUGAUGGUUGUACAGUCGUCUCAAAAAAAACUGAAGGACCUCGGUGUCACUCUGGACCCUGAUCUCUCUUUUGAAGAACAUAUCAAGACUGUUUCAAGGACAGCUUUUUUCCCAUCUACGUAACAUUGUAAAAAUCAGAAACUUUCUGUCCAAAAAUGAUGCUGCUAACCAACAAAGCAUCACAUGGGCUUGCUCUUACCCAUCUCUCUGAUUUGGUCCUGCCGUACAUACAGACACGAGGUCACAAGACGCAGGCCUCCUAAUUGUCCCUAGAAUUUCUAAGCAAACAGCUGGAUGCAGGGCUUUCUCCUAUAGAGCUCAAUUUUUAUAGAAUGGUCUGCCUACCCAUGUUAGAGACGCAGACUCGGUCUCAACUUUUAAGUCUUUAUUGAAGACUCAUCUCUUCAGUAGGUCCUAUGAUUGAGUGUAGUCUGGCCCAAGAAUGUGAAGGUGAACGGAAAGGCACUGGAGCAACGAACCGCCCUUGCUGUCUCUGCCUGACCGGUUCCCCUCUCUCCACUGGGAUUCUCUGCCUCUAACCCUAUUACAGGGGCUGAGUCACUGGCUUACUGGUGCUCUUCCAUGCCGUCCCUAGGAGGGGUGCGUCACUUGAGUGGAUUGAGUCACUGACGUGAUCUUCCUGUCCGGGUUGGCGCCCCCGCUUGGGUUGUGCCGUGGCGGAGAUCUUUGUGGGCUUUCCUCUGCCUUGUAUCAGGAUGGUAAGUUGGUGGUUGAAGAUAUCCCUCUAGUGGUGUGGGGGCUGUGCUUUGGCAAAGUGAGUGGGGUUAUAUCCUGCCUGUUUGGCCCUGUCUGGGGGUAUCAUCGGAUGGGGCCACAGUAUGCUGCAGUAGUUUGUGUCAGGGGGCUAGGGUCAGUCUGUUAUAUCUGGAGUAUUUAUCCUGUC